UACGUAGGUGGCAAGCGUUGUCCGGAUUUAUUGGGCUUAAAGGGUGCGUAGGCGGUCUUAUAAGUCAGUGCUGAAAUAUCCCGGCUUAACCGGGAGGGUGGCAUUGAUACUGUAGGACUUGAGUAAAGUUGAGGUUGGCGGAAUUGACGGUGUAGCGGUGAAAUGCUUAGAUAUCGUCAAGAACACCUAUAGCGAAGGCAGCUAACUAGACUUUAACUGACGCUGAGGCACGAAAGUGUGGGGAUCAAACAGG
rnacentral:rRNA from 1 species